rnacentral:rRNA from 1 species
GACGAACGCUGGCGGCGCGCUUAACACAUGCAAGUCGAACGAUGAACCCGGAGCUUGCUCCGGUGGAUUAGUGGCGAACGGGUGAGUAACACGUGAGUAACCUGCCCUUGACUCUGGGAUAACUGCGGGAAACUGUAGCUAAUACCGGAUACGACCCUCGGCGGCAUCGCCAGGGGGUGGAAAGAAUUUCGGUCAAGGAUGGACUCGCGGCCUAGCAGCUAGUUGGUGAGGUAACGGCUCACCAAGGCGACGACGGGUAGCCGGCCUGAGAGGGUGACCGGCCACACUGGGACUGAGACACGGCCCAGACUCCUACGGGAGGCAGCAGUGGGGAAUAUUGCACAAUGGGCGCAAGCCUGAUGCAGCAACGCCGCGUGAGGGAUGACGGCCUUCGGGUUGUAAACCUCUUUUAGUAGGGAAGAAGAGAAAGUGACGGUACCUGCAGAAAAAGCACCGGCUAACUACGUGCCAGCCGCCGCCGUAA